AUCGAACGCUGGCGGCAGGCCUAACACAUGCAAGUCGAGCGGUAGCACAGAGAGCUUGCUCUCGGGUGACGAGCGGCGGACGGGUGAGUAAAGUCUGGGAAACUGCCUGAUGGAGGGGGAUAACUACUGGAAACGGUAGCUAAUACCGCAUAAUGUCGCAAGACCAAAGUGGGGGACCUUCGGGCCUCAUGCCAUCAGAUGUGCCCAGAUGGGAGUUAGCUAGUAGGUGGGGUAACGGCUCACCUAGGCGACGAUCCCUAGCUGGUCUGAGAGGACGACCACCCACACUGGCGCGGGGACACGGUCCAGACACCUAUGGGAGGCAGCAGUGGGGAAUAUUGCAUAUUGGGCGCAAGCCUGGUGCAGCCAUGCAGGGUGUGUGAAGAAGGCCUUCGGGUUGUAAAGCACUUUCAGCGGGGAGGAAGGCGAUAAGGUUAAUAACCUUGUCGAUUGACGUUACCCGCAGAAGAAGCCCCGGCUAACUCCGUGCCAGCCGCCGCAGUAA
rnacentral:rRNA from 1 species